rnacentral:rRNA from 1 species
GACGAACGCUGGCGGCGUGCUUAACACAUGCAAGUCGAACGCAGUGGCGCACGGGUGAGUAACGCGUAAUCAACCUGCCCUUCAGGGGGGGACAACAGUUGGAACCGACUGCUAAUACCGCAUACAGAAGGCGGGGUUUGCGUCGGAUUAGCUAGUUGGAGGGGUAACGGCCCACAAAGGCGAUGAUCAGUAGCCGGUCGGAGAGGAUGAACGGCCACAUUGGGCCUGAGACACGGCCCAGACUCCUACGGGAGGCAGCAGUGGGGAAUCUUCCGCAAUGGACGAAAGUCUGACGAAGCAACGCCGCGUGAGUGAUGACGGCCUUCGGGUUGUAAAGCUCUGUUAAUCGGGACGCGGUACCGGAAUAGAAAGCCACGGCUAACUACGUGCCAGCAGCCGCGGUAAUUC